GAUGAACGCUGGCGGCGUGCCUAAUACAUGCAAGUCGAGCGAACAGACGAGGAGCUUGCUCCUCUGACGUUAGCGGCGGACGGGUGAGUAACACGUGGAUAACCUACCUAUAAUACUGGGAUAACUUCGGGAAACCGGAGCUAAUACCGGAUCAUAUAUUGAACCGCAUGGUUCAAUAGUGAAUGACGGUUUUGCUGUCACUUAUAGAUGGAUCCGCGCCGCAUUAGCUAGUUGGUAAGGUAACGGCUUACCAAGGCAACGAUGCGUAGCCGACCUGAGAGGGUGAUCGGCCACACUGGAACUGAGACACGGUCCAGACUCCUACGGGAGGCAGCAGUAGGGAAUCUUCCGCAAUGGGCGAAAGCUUGACGGAGCAACGCCGCGUGAGUGAUGAAGGUCUUCGGAUCGUAAAACUCUGUUAUUAGGGAAGAACAAAUGUGUAAGUAACUAUGCACGUCUUGACGGUACCUAAUCAGAAAGCCACGGCUAACUACGUG
rnacentral:rRNA from 1 species